rfam:Olsenella sp. HMSC062G07 Olsenella_spHMPREF2826-1.0_Cont24.1, whole genome shotgun sequence.
CGAACGGAGAGUUCGAUCCUGGCUCAGGAUGAACGCUGGCGGCGCGCCUAACACAUGCAAGUCGAACGGUUAAGGCUUCCUCGGAAGCGAAUAGAGUGGCGAACGGCUGAGUAACACGUGGGCAACCUGCCCCUCGCACCGGGACAGCCUCGGGAAACCGUGGUUAAUACCGGAUACUCCGCCGCCCCCGCAUGGGGGCGGCGGGAAAGCCCAGACGGCGAGGGAUGGGCCCGCGGCCUGUUAGCUCGUUGGCGGGGUGACGGCCCACCAAGGCGAUGAUGGGUAGCCGGGUUGAGAGACCGACCGGCCAGAUUGGGACUGAGACACGGCCCAGACUCCUACGGGAGGCAGCAGUGGGGAAUCUUGCACAAUGGGCGAAAGCCUGAUGCAGCGACGCCGCGUGCGGGACGAAGGCCCUCGGGUCGUAAACCGCUUUCAGCAGGGACGAGGCCGAAAGGUGACGGUACCUGCAGAAGAAGCCCCGGCUAACUACGUGCCAGCAGCCGCGGUAAUACGUAGGGGGCGAGCGUUAUCCGGAUUCAUUGGGCGUAAAGCGCGCGUAGGCGGCCUGUCUGGUCGGGAGUCAAAUCCGGGGGCUCAACCCCCGCACGCUCCCGAUACCGGCGGGCUUGAGUCUGGUAGGGGAAGGCGGAAUUCCCGGUGUAGCGGUGGAAUGCGCAGAUAUCGGGAAGAACACCGGUGGCGAAGGCGGCCUUCUGGGCCAAGACUGACGCUGAGGCGCGAGAGCUAGGGGAGCGAACAGGAUUAGAUACCCUGGUAGUCCUAGCCGUAAACGAUGGACACUAGGUGUGGGGG